GUCUCCGUAGUGUAGUGGUUAUCACGUUCGCCUCACACGCGAAAGGUCCCCGGUUCGAACCCGGGGGGAAACA
rfam:Ciona savignyi cont_28026, whole genome shotgun sequence.